AAAAAUUGUUUACUAGUACUCCCUUCGUUUCAAUUUAUCUGCCUUGAUUUGACCGAACAUGAAGUUGAAGAAAAAAAAUAAGUAAAACGGAUAAAUUGAAGCGCAGGGAGUAGUAAAUAUUUCUUCAAAACAACAUAGGACAGUUUGGGGUAGUUGGUCUUUUGGGUUAUUUUAAUUAGUUGGUACUAGUUAGGAUUUGGAGUACUACUCCAUAGGUUUUAUUUAAGUACUUUACUUUAUAUAUAGCCAGAGCAGAUCUAAACUCUGAUAUUUGCAAGAACAUAUAAAGUGUAUAUUUCAUGUAACUUUGAAACUUGCAUAUGUAUUAAGUAGCUAGGUAAAUAAUG
rnacentral:misc_RNA from 1 species